rnacentral:rRNA from 1 species
ACGAACGCUGGCGGCGUGCCUAAUACAUGCAAGUCGAGCGGACAGAAGGGAGCUUGCUCCCGGAUGUUAGCGGCGGACGGGUGAGUAACACGUGGGUAACCUGCCUGUAAGACUGGGAUAACUCCGGGAAACCGGAGCUAAUACCGGAUAGUUCCUUGAACCGCAUGGUUCAAGGAUGAAAGACGGUUUCGGCUGUCACUUACAGAUGGACCCGCGGCGCAUUAGCUAGUUGGUGAGGUAACGGCUCACCAAGGCGACGAUGCGUAGCCGACCUGAGAGGGUGAUCGGCCACACUGGGACUGAGACACGGCCCAGACUCCUACGGGAGGCAGCAGUAGGGAAUCUUCCGCAAUGGACGAAAGUCUGACGGAGCAACGCCGCGUGAGUGAUGAAGGUUUUCGGAUCGUAAAGCUCUGUUGUUAGGGAAGAACAAGUGCAAGAGUAACUGCUUGCACCUUGACGGUACCUAACCAGAAAGCCACGGCUAACUACGUGCCAGCAGCCGCGGUAAUACGUAGGUGGCAAGCGUUGUCCGGAAUUAUUGGGCGUAAAGGGCUCGCAGGCGGUUUCUUAAGUCUGAUGUGAAAGCCCCCGGCUCAACCGGGGAGGGUCAUUGGAAACUGGGAAACUUGAGUGCAGAAGAGGAGAGUGGAAUUCCACGUGUAGCGGUGAAAUGCGUAGAGAUGUGGAGGAACACCAGUGGCGAAGGCGACUCUCUGGUCUGUAACUGACGCUGAGGAGCGAAAGCGUGGGGAGCGAACAGGAUUAGAUACCCUGGUAGUCCACGCCGUAAACGAUGAGUGCUAAGUGUUAGGGGGUUUCCGCCCCUUAGUGCUGCAGCUAACGCAUUAAGCACUCCGCCUGGGGAGUACGGUCGCAAGACUGAAACUCAAAGGAAUUGACGGGGGCCCGCACAAGCGGUGGAGCAUGUGGUUUAAUUCGAAGCAACGCGAAGAACCUUACCAGGUCUUGACAUCCUCUGACAACCCUAGAGAUAGGGCUUUCCCUUCGGGGACAGAGUGACAGGUGGUGCAUGGUUGUCGUCAGCUCGUGUCGUGAGAUGUUGGGUUAAGUCCCGCAACGAGCGCAACCCUUGAUCUUAGUUGCCAGCAUUCAGUUGGGCACUCUAAGGUGACUGCCGGUGACAAACCGGAGGAAGGUGGGGAUGACGUCAAAUCAUCAUGCCCCUUAUGACCUGGGCUACACACGUGCUACAAUGGACAGAACAAAGGGCUGCGAGACCGCAAGGUUUAGCCAAUCCCACAAAUCUGUUCUCAGUUCGGAUCGCAGUCUGCAACUCGACUGCGUGAAGCUGGAAUCGCUAGUAAUCGCGGAUC